UGUUAUGAUUGAUUGUGUGAUACUUGAAUAAAAAUGUAUCUACAUAAGUGUAGUCAGUGUGCCUUCAGCAGCAGGUGGCUGGGUGUUAACUAAUGGCAAAAACAAAAGGUCAAUUCAAUCCAGAUGCGGCAGCAGCUCAAAUUACAACGAAGGGAUCGAUGCCGCCAGGGAGUGGAGGCCCUGAGCAGCACGACGGGAUAAAGACAACCCGGUUCAUCUGUUGGAUGUGCAUCUCAUUUGAUGGCGGUAGGGACCGGUUCCGAGAAGAUGAGAUGGUGGAAGAAUGAAGUCACCGUCUGCCGGAAGCUAAAAUAACUCCG